UACAGAGGUCUCAAGCGUUGUUCGGAUUCAUUGGGCGUAAAGGGUGCGUAGGCGGUGGAGUAAGUUGGAUGUGAAAUCCCAGGGCUUAACCCUGGAACUGCAUUCAAUACUGCUUACUAGAGUACUGGAGAGGAGAUUGGAAUUCACGGUGUAGCAGUGAAAUGCGUAGAUAUCGUGAGGAAGACCAGUGGCGAAAGGCGAUCUCCUGGGACAGUAACUGACGCUGAGGCACGAAGGCUAGGGGAGCAAACGGG
rnacentral:rRNA from 1 species